rnacentral:tRNA from 1 species
GCCCGAAUAGCUCAGGUAGUAGAGCGUAAACUUGGUAAGUUUAAGGUCGGCAGUGCAAAUCUGCCUUCGGGCU